UAAGACUCCACACAGCAAAACAUCUCUCUUUAAUGUUUGAGAACAGUUGACUGUCAUCUAGCUGAACCAGGCAAAAGAUAAAAGCGUAUGGACUCCAAGAGGGAAUUCUCCUUUUCACUGCUGGCACUGCCGUCUGACAGCAAAAGUACUUGUGUUAAAAAAAAAAAUCCGAAUGAAAUAAUGGACUGAGCAAGAUUCUUCAGAUUCAAGUCAGGUACCGUGAAACUCGUUAUCUACAAAUUUCACAUCGUGUGUCAAAAAAAAAAUCAUAACCUACAAAUUGCCAUUUUAAAAUAAAAACGUGCACGGGAUGGAUUGAGCUAUAACGACGACGACCUCCCGUGUAGAAAUACCCCACCUCCGCCAGCAGGGUUUCAAAAAGCUACAUCUCACGGGCGCGUCCGCAAGCAGAGAGAACUAUUUAGUGCAGAGCGUCUCUCUCGGUCUCCGCUGAGCUCACGGACCUGCCGGGGGAGACUGACAGGAGCUGAUGGCGGUGAUGCCAGUUAAAUACGCGAGGAGUCGGCUCAGCUCGUCACCGCCCGAGCCUGGACCGUCCGUAACACGGCAGAGCGCGAUGCGAAAUGCCGGCUCAUUGCAGCUCUGAGAUGCCGCACAGCAGCAGCAGCAGGCGGAGGGGUGGACGGGAUUUUUGUUUUUCUUUUCGUCUCCUUCUUUUCCAAAAGACAUUCCAGCACGGGAUGCCAUGGCAACCGGAGGCUCUUGCUGCCGAGGGGACGGCCGGCCAGGAAGCGGAGAGUGAUGGCGCCUGAUUGUUUCCACAGAGCGCAACAGGCCCACGGCUGACGCGGAGCCCGGCGAGUGCGGCAGCAGGCCAGGGCCGGCGGUGUGGCAGCAAAGUUCACAUUCCGCAGAGUGGGCCGGGUGGGAGAAAAAGGGGGCAUUGCUGUUUUUCUUUUUCAGGGGCCUAGUCAUACUGCGCAGGGCGCACAAGUCAGACUCAUCAGCCUUUAAACAAGAGCUGUGCGGUCGGGUCGACACCAGUUCAUCACAGCCAAGUCCAUGCAAAAAAAAAAAGAUCUGGGACGUGCGUGACGUGAUUACAGUUCAGUGGCUUCGCUGCGGAAGAGCGCCCCCGGGCGGUCACUCCUGGACUCGAGAAGACACUGACUCGACACCACGUCUUACUUGUUCAGACCGAGAUGUGUAGAGAUUUCUUAAGCCUUUUUUUAUUUCAUUGCCCUCUUAAUUAUAAUCGAACAAUAAGCGUCCAGAUGGGGCUCGUCUGCCUUGCCGCUUUUUUACACAAAACAGAAAGCCCCUUUUAAACAAUGUACAUUUCACUUGUGUGAUCAUUCCGGUGCUUUUU